CAAUGUCUCCCUCUACGGCAUCGUGGGCAAAUACCUGGUAUUCUACUCCUUUGAUACCUAGUUUUGUUAAACCCUCCUCCAAUGGGGCAAUUCCUUUUAAAAUGUCCUGUUUGUUCACAAUUGUAGCAUGUUUUUGGCCUGGCAUCUAAAGCCAAAAACAUGCUACAAUUGUGAACAAACAGGACAUUUUAAAAGGAAUUGCCCCAUUGGAGGAGGGUUUAACAAAACUAGGUAUCAAAGGAGUAGAAUACCAGGUAUUUGCCCACGAUGCCGUAGAGGGAGACAUUG
rnacentral:pre_miRNA from 1 species